rnacentral:miRNA from 1 species
AUUCCUUCCGUCGAUGAGGUAAAACACCCUCAUCGGCCGGAAGGGAUUCCUUCCGGUCGAUGAGGUAUAACAACCUCAUUGACGGAAGGAAUCCCUUCCGUCGAUGAGGGUGUUUUACCUCAUCGACCGGAAGGAAU